rfam:Xenopus laevis MGC86282 protein, mRNA (cDNA clone MGC:86282 IMAGE:7019973), complete cds.
AAAGUGGCCUAUGCAACAGCCAUGGACUGGUUCAUUGCAGUCUGCUAUGCUUUU